GGCCGGUUGGCCCAAUGGCAAGGCGUCUGACUACGACACACCGUGGAAUCAGGAGAUUGUGGGUUCGACCCCCAUGCUGGUCA
rnacentral:tRNA from 3 species